GAUUUCAUCAUUCAAGAAUCAUUUUCUAUGUGAGACCUGGAAAGAUCCUGAAAGUUUAUGUACUUAGAAAAAAAUGAGUAAAUGCCUGCAGUUUAAUUAGAAGUUUCAGUAAAGAGAAACUUUUCCUAGUUCGUACUUCUGUUCGAGGAAAUUCCAUCACGUCAUUUGUACUUAAUGACAAAGAAUGAAAAAUCCCUGAAAAUCAAGAGAAAAUCAUCAAUAAAAAAAUACUAUUUAGACAAUAACAAAGUACCAUCCACCAGAAACCAUCACAAAGAUAAAAGACUAGACAAUAUUACAGUAUCAUCCAGAAACCAUUCCAAGGAUAGAGAGAAUAUCUAGACAAUAAUACAGAUUCAUCAACCAGAAACAAUUACAAGAGAGAAAGAUCAUCAAGACAAUACAGUACCAUAAACCAGAAAACAUUAUAAGGAUGAAGAAGAUCUACAUAUCUAUACAGUAACAUCAACCAGAACCCAUAACUAGGAGAGAAAGAAUACAGUACCAUCCAGAAAUCAUAACGAGAAUAAAAGACUAUCUAGACAAUAAUAUAGUACCAUCCUGAAACCAUAACAAGAAUAAAAGACUAUCUAGAAAAUAAUAUAGUACCAUCCUGAAACCAUAACAAGAAUAAAAGACUAUCUAGAAAAUAAUAUAGUACCAUCCUGAAACCAUAACAAGAAUAAAAGACUAUCUAGACAAUAAUAUAGUACCAUCCUGAAACCAUAACAAGAAUAAAAGAAUAUCUAGACAAUAAUAUAGUACCAUCCAGAA